ACAAAGGGCUCUGGAUUGUGGCGGGGAAGGAGCGGAGGAACUGUGCAUCCGGGAAUGGUGCGACUGCCGAUCCUAUCUGUUGGUCUACUGUUUGACAGGUGCCACAACGGCCUUGUAGCUUCAGGAGCGGAGCAUGGAGGAGGGCUCUGAGUCAUGGUGGGAGAAAUAUGGUUGUGUACGUGGCAACGCACGGGCACUCUUGUAAACUCUAGCUAGACUUGGACAAUAAUGCUUACGUGUGUUAGUGGGUUGCAGGUAAUGAGUUGUUUAGUAGACAUACCCACUGAAGUAUUUACUUUACUUGAUCAAUGUUGUUCCAUAGAAUAUGUGCGGAAUCAUUACAAGUUAGUAUCCGCUGAAGUACAGAUGGGACAUGAUUUGUGUGGAAUCACUAGAAUAUGUGUGCCAUUUACUGAGCUGCUCGGGUGGGAAGUGCAAUUCAGUAUGAUCCUGGAUCUCUCUCUCUCUCCUCGCACUUCAAACGGCUUCCUGCUCAGUAGAUGGAAAGAUGGGUUUAGGUUGGGAGGAAGAAGCUGUACAGAUAAGGAAAAGUAGAACCAAGGGAGGGGGAUGAAACACAUUUAUUUGAGCACCGUCUCUCUUUUGGCAGUUUCAGAGUCAUCAACACGUCGAGAAUGGUGCUAACGUUUUCAUUUUGGUGAUAUCAGGGAUUUAGAGCAUCCACACGAUCUCGGUCGUCAAUGGCCUGAAGCCAAAUUUUAUUUCUGUUAACUGACAAAUGGUCAUGUGCUGAACUGCUGAUGUCAGGCUGUUAGGCUGUUAAUUGUUCUGCUACUGUCGAAAGAGAAAGCCCAUCUCGAAGCCUAAAGGAGAUGACAUCCCAGGAGCCAUCACUGAAGGUUUUCAGGCCAUGACGAUACCGCUUGUGCCAGAGAGGGUAGUAUGUGACCCCCCAGAGUAUAUAACUGGUAGGAAGUUAAGUAAAUGUAGCUCUGGCAAGGUGUAUGUUGGCAUACGAAUAGAUAUGCCUGGUGGAGCAUACAACGGUCCAAAUGCACACGAGCUUCUCUUAGCUACCUGCAUUAAAUGGACACCGAAAUCUGUUCUUGAUUCACUUUAAUAUACACUUGUUUGAGCAUCAGUCGAUACAGAGGCUAGAUGAGAUCCUCUUUUAUCUAAAAAGAAUCUUAUCUUCAUGUAGGUUGCACUUAAAUUUGAGCAUCAGAAAAGCAGAGCAGGUUGCUAUAACGCCCCAUUAGAGUGGAAGUAUAUCAGCAAGAAUUAUACACAAUCAUCCCCUUUUUACAUUUGUAUAGUUUUUUGUGGAGGAUGUCAUGUUAUCCUUUUGUGAGCAGGACUCUCAAUGGCUGUUAUGGCAUACCAUCAGUACACUACAUGGGUCAUCAAGGAGACUACCACACUCUUAUAAUGGAUAUGCUUGGUCCUAACCUAUGGGAUGUUCAUGAUUCACUUGAACAGAAGAAGUAUACUUUCCAUCUUUUCAUCCUCGCUGCUUGUUCCCCUUACUACUUGCUGGAAGUAUGAACUCCCCUAACAGGAUGCCAUUUCAAAUGGUUGCUCAUAUUGUCGUUGAUGCCGUAUCAAUUUUUGAGAAGAUUGACUCCAAAGGUGGCGUUAACACUUGCUGCUCCUGCUAUUAUUCCCAGCUUUGUACAUGGUGAUGUCAAACCUGAAAACUUUUUUCUUGGUCAGCUUGGAUAUGCUCAAGAAAAUAAGCUUUUAUCAUUAAUUUUGGCUUAGGUAUUCUAUUACAUAACGUAGUUUCAUCCGUACAUGAGGAUAUUCAGUUUGGUGUUCUCAAAACACUAUGCCCUUUGCUCAGAGCAAUUGGCAUACUUGUUAGAAUGUUGAUGCAUUUUAUGCCCUGCUAACCUUUUUCACAUGGUUCUUUUGAUACCAAAAUUAUGCAGCAUCCAACUGGAAAAGAGGAUCAUGCAACAAGCAUGUUCAGUAUGACCAGAGGCCAGACAUAUUUAGGGGAGCAAUUAGAUAUGCCAUCAUCCAUGCCUGUUUAGGUCGUACAGGCAGUAGGAGGGAUGAUUUGGAGUCACUAGCAUACACCCUUCUAUUUUUGUUAAGAGGAAGCCUGCCAUGGCAAGGCUGUCAGAUAUUGUGUGCCUUAUAAUAUCUCUAUUACACUUUGUACAUCCACACACAUCGAAUCCACUUAUUUUCUCAGAUACUUCAGUUCCAAUUGUAUUUUAAUAUAUCUAUCUUCACUUUACAUUAGUAGAAAUAUAUCAUGCCUAUUCGAAUUAGUCAUCACAUAGUAUUGAUCGGCAUGCUCUUAUGAUGAUUAUCUUACCAAUGUUUUAUUCCAAAUGUUGUGUUGUAAUUCAUGUCUUGAUUUAAUAUUUCUUAGGUUUUUGUUGCAAGUAACUAUAUAAUUCCUUGUUACACUUCUGCUACAAUUGGCAUUAACAUCACCGGUUGGUUGUCGAUACUUCAUGUGAGGUUGAUGAGGCAGCACUAGGAGUUUCAUACUCUACUGGAUGCUCAAUAAUUGUCUUAUUGGAAGGGCAAGUGCUAUCAAGAGACUAAAGUAUAUGGGUGGUUUUUGUAUCAACAGUGCAUCUGUCAACAAAUUUAAUUUGGGUUCUCUUGCUCCAACAAGGUUAAUGAAGAUGUGCAGUAGAUAUAGUAUUUUUCUAACCGAGGCAAACUUGUUCUUCCCUAAGACACUUUCUAAGUGGUACUUCAUUUCAGACACUUUCUAAGUGGUACUUCAUUUCAAAACCAAGUAUCAUAUGAAUUGGAUUAUGUAGAAGACACAGAGAUAAAAGGUACGUCGUUGCAUUCAUAUAGACACUGAUUUAUCCUUACUAGGGCUUAAUCAGGUCAUGUAUGGUUCAUGAAUCUGCUAUUUCUUUACAAUUUUUUUACAAGUUUCUAGCACAUAGGUCCAGCAUGUUCGAUUAGGAGGUUUGCAUUGCUCUGAAUGUAUGAACUAAGGAUGCCCCGAUGUUUUGAGUUUAGAUGUGAUAAUUUAAUUUCAAAAAAAAUCAUAGAUUUGUGCAGUAGUAGCAUAGUUGUGACACCUCUAUAACAAUUCUAGAAUUUAAGGGGUGUUUUAUUUACUAUCUCCUCUAACUAAACUAUUUUGUGGUUUGUCUGGAAAAAUUACGGAGUCUUUUUUUCAGAAUUAUGUUAUCUAUCUUGCGCCAAAUUAACCACUUAUUUCUGAACUGUAGAGUCCACUAUGGUUAAUUUUAUUAUCAUAGCAAAAGAAAUCCAUUUUAAUCAUGACAUCAUGACCAUGUGAACUAGGUAUACAAGGUUAUUUCUCUGACUACUAUGCUGUCAAACAGGAAGCUACACCGGUUGUUUCUUUGGCAAUUACAAAUUAGUAUCCAUCAUCUAUAGACACUAGAGGAAUAUGUUGUUGGAGAAGGUGCAGUGUUGCGGUGAGCAGCAGGUUGUGUCGUCGUGGUGGUCACCCUCGGCUACGAUGGUGUGCAGUCCUUGGCACCGGGAUCGGCCUGGGAUGUCGUGGAGGGGAGAGGAGGGGAUGGGCGACGUCAUGGAGAGAAGGGGGCGUGGCGCUGAGAGCAAGGUGGGAGCUAAAUGAUAUGGCGUCGAGGGGAGGCAACAAUGAGAAGUCAUGGUGGGCAGAGCACACUGGGGAAUUGAGAUGUGAGUGUGACCAUUGCAUCGUGCAAUGAGUGAGAGGGUGAAUUGCUUUUUUAAGGUAAGAAGAGAAGGAUCGGUUGUUUGCUUUCAACGGAAAAUCGGUUGUUUGCUAUGAGAGAAAUGUCACAUACUUCUGUAUAUAGAGAAAAAUCUCACAAAGCCUAACAAGUCAUCUCUAGCAGCUCACUAGCAAGUAGAGGGGAGAGUGUUUGAUACGUCUCCAACGUAUCUAUAAAUUUUUAUUGUUCCAUGCUAUU